rnacentral:sRNA from 1 species
UAAAAAUCUCAGUUAGAACUUGUAUAUAAGAAAGGAUUAUUCAGUUUCAAAACCUGAUCAGCUUGAAAUUCUACAGAUACAUUACAGAACUUUUCCAUCACUCUUGAAUUGCUAACGAUCAGCCAUGGUCCUGAAAGUUGUCGUCUUCUUGCUCGCUUCUUGCCUUCUCUUUGAAAGCUUAACAACUGUUAGUGGUUACGAAGAAGAUGGAGGCUAUGGCCCAGCUGACCCUGAGGACGGGGAUGAAGGUCAGACAACAUUCAGUCCAGUCGAUGGUGUAGACCCAGCCCCGUAUGUACAAGUGGCUGCAUUCGGUCGUAGAGAUUGACUGAAUUAGAAACAACCUUCAAUCAAAAUUAAUUGGAUGUCUAUGAUAAGUAAUAAAGUGAAAUAAAAAGAACUUAAAUGUCA